rnacentral:rRNA from 2 species
GUCAAAGCGUUCAUUAAAGUCGAGUUGGCUUAGGGAUACGUUCGUUGGGUAGGGGAGCGUUCUGUAAGCCUGUGAAGGUGUGUCGUGAGGCAUGCUGGAGGUAUCAGAAGUGCGAAUGCUGACAUAAGUAACGAUAAAGCGGGUGAAAAGCCCGCUCGCCGGAAGACCAAGGGUUCCUGUCCAACGUUAAUCGGGGCAGGGUGAGUCGACCCCUAAGGCGAGGCCGAAAGGCGUAGUCGAUGGGAAACGGGUUAAUAUUCCCGUACUUGGUGUUACUGCGAAGGGGGGACGGAGAAGGCUAUGUUGGCCGGGCGACGGUUGUCCCGGUUUAAGCGUGUAGGUGUGUGUUCCAGGUAAAUCCGGUUCACUUUAACACUGAGGCGUGACGACGAGGCACUACGGUGCUGAAGCA